GACGAACGCUGGCGGCGUGCUUAAUACAUGCAAGUCGAACGGAAAGGCCCUGCUUUUGUGGGGUGCUCGAGUGGCGAACGGGUGAGUAACACGUGAGUAACCUGCCCUUGACUUUGGGAUAACUUCAGGAAACUGGGGCUAAUACCGGAUAGGAGCUCCUGCUGCAUGGUGGGGGUUGGAAAGUUUCGGCGGUUGGGGAUGGACUCGCGGCUUAUCAGCUUGUUGGUGGGGUAGUGGCUUACCAAGGCUUUGACGGGUAGCCGGCCUGAGAGGGUGACCGGCCACAUUGGGACUGAGAUACGGCCCAGACUCCUACGGGAGGCAGCAGUGGGGAAUAUUGUACAAUGGGCGGAAGCCUGAUGCAGCAACGCCGCGUGCGGGAUGACGGCCUUCGGGUUGUAAACCGCUUUCGCCUGUGACGAAGCGUGAGUGACGGUAAUGGGUAAAGAAGCACCGGCUAACUACGUG
rnacentral:rRNA from 1 species